AACGAACGCUGGCGGCAGGCCUAACACAUGCAAGUCGAACGCCGUAGCAAUACGGAGUGGCAGACGGGUGAGUAACACGUGGGAACGUACCCUUCGGUUCGGAAUAACUCAGGGAAACUUGAGCUAAUACCGGAUACGUCCGAGAGGAGAAAGAUUUAUCACCGAGGGAUCGGCCCGCGUCUGAUUAGCUUGUUGGUGAGGUAACGGCUCACCAAGGCGACGAUCAGUAGCUGGUCNGAGAGGAUGAUCAGCCACAUUGGGACUGAGACACGGCCCAAACUCCUACGGGAGGCAGCAGUGGGGAAUAUUGGACAAUGGGCGCAAGCCUGAUCCAGCCAUGCCGCGUGAGUGAUGAAGGCCCUAGGGUUGUAAAGCUCUUUUACCCGGGAAGAUAAUGACUGUACCGGGAGAAUAAGCCCCGGCUAACUUCGUGCCAGCAGCCGCUGUAAG
rnacentral:rRNA from 1 species